CGCCAUCAACUGAACUGACACCAGAGGAGGCAGAAUGCUUUGAGAAGCAGUCUCUAAACCUUCUAGACCUAUGAUGCUCAACAUGAUAGCCACCAACCAUACACAGAUACUGAGCACUUGAAAUGUG